rnacentral:tRNA from 1 species
UGGCUCAGUGGUAGAGCAUGGUGUUUGCAACGCCAGGGUUGUGGGUUUGAUUCCCAU